rnacentral:rRNA from 1 species
AUGUAAAAUGACUCUCGGCAACGGAUAUCUCGGCUCUUGCAUCGAUGAAGAACGUAGCGAAAUGCGAUACUUGGUGUGAAUUGCAGAAUCCCGUGAACCAUCGAGUCUUUGAACGCAAGUUGCGCCCAAAGCCAUCAGGCCGAGGGCACGCCUGCCUGGGUGUCACAC